rnacentral:rRNA from 1 species
UACAGAGGGGGCAAGCGUUGUUCGGAAUUACUGGGCGUAAAGCGCACGUAGGCGGCUCUUUAAGUCGGGGGUGAAAUCCUGGAGCUCAACUCCAGAACUGCCUUCGAUACUGUAGAGCUUGAGUUCGGGAGAGGUGAGUGGAACUGCGAGUGUAGAGGUGAAAUUCGUAGAUAUUCGCAAGAACACCAGUGGCGAAGGCGGCUCACUGGCCCGAUACUGACGCUGAGGUGCGAAAGCGUGGGGAGCAAACAGG